AGAAUUUAAUAUGGAAGUAUCAGAUGGUAACCAAAUUGGCCCUUUAGACAUUGAGCAAUAUGUGCCAUCCGAAAGUGGAAUGAAUGGAAUUUCUCUAAGACUGCUGAUGAGUUCUGAUUCUGUCACAACAUUGGUAGAGAGUAGAUAUCCAGAAGAACGAACAGACACAACAGUAGAAAAGGCAUUUAGCCAAUUAGAAAUCCAAUCAAG
rnacentral:misc_RNA from 1 species